AGCUGAACCGUGACAUUGAUGUUAGGUAUUUUAUCUAAAUGUCUGUGAGAUUAACAGAACAUGUAUUCCACAUCACAACAUCAUGCAGUGUACUGGGAGUUAAAGAGCAAAUGCUUUAGUUCCGGGUACCUGUCUGGAAGAGAAGAACUACGGUCCCCAAGAGCCUUUUCAAGUACUGUUAUCAUUCCUGCUCAAGGGAACAGACAUAAGGGUGCAGGUCAUCUGACUCGGCCCUCUUCUCAUCUCGUCGUGUUCCCUGUCAGAUCGACUCACUACUGCUGCUCCCAACUGCACGCAAGGCUUCAGUAUUAGUUUUCCAUGAUACCAUGUAUGACAAUUGCCUGCAUGUCUGGAACCUUUUAUAGAAGCAAAAACUGAAGUGGCUUGUUCUGUGAAUACUAACAGGAAUCCUAAGAAUCACAGAAUGGCAGAGGUUGGAAGGGACCUCAAGUGAUCAUUGAGUCUAACCCCCCUGCUAAAGCAGAUACCGCAAUAUGUCACAGAGCCCUCUUGAGGAGGAGUGAGAGUGCAGUUUGGUGGACAUCAGGCAAUCAGCCAAGCUUUUAAAGGUAAGAAAGAAGAAACCAUCAAAACAGCAGCUAUCAAAAUGUGGAUUAUCAAUGAUGAUGACAUGAUGAUUAUGCAGUUAUUAAAAAAAAUGGCCAGUCAUGGUUUUAUUAUCUUUGAUUAUCGGUGUUCCACAUCAUAACAUCAUGUACUGCACCGGGAGUUAAAGAGUUAAUGCUCCAGUUCCAGGCACCUGUCUGGAAGAGAAGAAGAACUACAUUCCUCAGGGGGCUUUGCGGACAGAGAGAAUAUAUAACCCCUGGCAAGGUCACCUGAUUUCUCUCCCUUCCCUCGGCUCUCCUCCCUGUUGCUCGUCCCGACCACAUGCAUCACCUCAGCACUACUAUAAAGUACUUCAAUAGUUACUGGAACGUGGAACAAGAAAGCGAGAAUGAGUCAAAUCUGAUGCUCUUUGGAAAGAUGAGGUACCCAGCCCCCAUUCCUAAUCAUAGUGAAUAUUGAAUUAUUUAUACAAGAUAGAAGAGACUAUGCAGGGAUAUUAAGCACACUUUCUUUCCUGGUUUUCCCAAUUUUAACCUAUUGGACCUCCUGGGAAAUGGGAGCUGGAGUUUGAACACUCCAAGGAAGAUACAGGAAUUGAAUAUGUGUACUCUUACUGUUAAGCAUUAGUUUUUGAUGGUUUUUUUUUUGUCGUUGUUGUUUUUUUUAAGAAGUGUAAAGUAACUUUUCGUUCUUUUCUGUCAGCUUUCUGAAUGUGCUCUUAUUUUUCCUCUAAAUUUCUCAGAAAUCCAGACACAAAACAAGCUGUUGUAGAUCUUAAAGUGUGGACUGCUUCACUUUGUUUACGUUUGUUUCAUCAUGAGGGGAAGUGGCAGUGAACCGAAGGUUUGUUUCAGUUUGGCAAAAUAUUUAUAAAUUCACUGAGUUCACUUCCCAC
rnacentral:lncRNA from 1 species